GUAGUUUGAUCCUGGCUCAGAUUGAACGCUGGCGGCAUGCCUUACACAUGCAAGUCGAACGGCAGCACGGGAGCUUGCUCCUGGUGGCGAGUGGCGAACGGGUGAGUAAUGCAUCGGAACGUAUCCUGGAGUGGGGGGAUAACGUAGCGAAAGUUACGCUAAUACCGCAUAUUCUGUGAAGCAGGAAAGCGGGGGACCUUCGGGCCUCGCGCUCUUGGAGCGGCCGAUGUCGGAUUAGCUAGUUGGUGAGGUAAAGGCUCACCAAGGCGACGAUCCGUA
rnacentral:rRNA from 1 species